rnacentral:lncRNA from 1 species
UGUUGCUGUAAAAUCAGGGUUUAAGGAGCGUGGGUUUAUGUAGAAACCUGGGAUUACGCUCUGCGACAGCGCGAACUCGAAAGAUGCUGCGGCGUCCCGAGGAUGGAAAUUGCUGGGAAGAUUCGUGUGUUGGCGUGACUACCGUAUUGAUUUGGCCCCGCGCGGAGAGGAGAUUCGAUCCGAUGCGCCUGACCGCGGCUUCAUCGAGCAUCUGGUACGACGAACGAUUGGAAAAAUCCAAAAUUUUGCUCCAUGGGGUGGGGUGGGACCUUCCUCGGUCGUACGGCAUAUAUACCUUCGCAAGAAUGAAACUCAAAAAAAU